rnacentral:rRNA from 1 species
CCUACGGGAGGCAGCAGUGGGGAAUAUUGCACAAUGGGCGCAAGCCUGAUGCAGCCAUGCCGCGUGUAUGAAGAAGGCCUUAGGGUUGUAAAGUACUUUCAGUCGGGAGGAAGGCGUUGAUGCUAAUAUCAUCAACGAUUGACGUUACCGACAGAAGAAGCACCGGCUAACUCCGUGCCAGCAGCCGCGGUAAU